AGUGAACGAGGGAGGGAGAAAGAACACAUGCAAGUCGAACGGAAGCAUAGUAAGAGCUUGCUCUUACGGGUGGCGAGUGGCGGACGGGUGAGGUGUGUAUCGGAUACCUCUUUUUCGUGGGGGAUAACGUAGGGAAAUUUCUGCUAACACAGCAUAUGUCCUACGGGUGUAAGCAGGGGUUAUUUGGGCUUUGCGCGAUUGUAUGAGCCGAUGUCGGAUGAGAUAGUUGGCGGGGGAAAGGCACUGCACGGCGACGAUCCGUAGCUGGUCUGAGAGGAUGAUCAUCCACACUGGAAGUGAGACACGGUCCAGACUCCUACGGUAGGCAGCAGUGGGGAAUAUUAGGCAAUGGGCGAAAGCCGGAUCCAGCCAUACCGCGUGAGUGAUGAAGGCCUUCGGGUUGGAAAGCCCUGUUGUUGGGAAAGAAAAACAGCACGUUUACACCCCACGGUACUGACGGUACCCAAAGAAUAAGCACCGGCUAACUUCGUG
rnacentral:rRNA from 1 species